rnacentral:rRNA from 1 species
UACGUAGGGCGCAAGCGUUAUCCGGAAUUAUUGGGCGUAAAGAGCUCGUUAGGCGGUUUGUCGCGUCUGCUGUGAAAUCCCAGGGCUUAACCCUGGGCCUGCAGUGGGUACGGGCAAACUAGAGUGCGGUAGGGGAGAUCGGAAUUCCUGGUGUAGCGGUGAAAUGCGCAGAUAUCAGGAGGAACACCGGUGGCGAAGGCGGAUCUCUGGGCCGUAACUGACGCUGAGGAGCGAAAGCAUGGGUAGCGAACAGG